rnacentral:hammerhead_ribozyme from 1 species
AUCUAGCUGACGGGUCUCAAAUAGAACGAAAUGUGCCUCCUAUAU